rnacentral:tRNA from 1 species
GGUCGGUUAGCUCAGUUGGUUAGAGCGUCGUACUAAUACAAUAUCAUACUGUAUCAAGUAAUGCGAAGGUCAUGGGUUCGACCCCCAUACUGACCA